CUAAGGCUCCGGAGGAAGCCACGGCUAACUCUGUGCCAGCAGCCGCGGUAAUACAGAGGCGGCAAGCGUUGUUCGGAAUUAUUGGGCGUAAAGAGCACGUAGGCAGCCUUGUAAGUCAGUUGUGAAGGCCUUCUGCUCAACGGAAGAACAGCAUCUGAUACUGCAAGGCUAGAGUGCGGAAGGGGAGAGUGGAACUUCUGGUGGAGCGGUGAAAUGCGUAGAUAUCAGAAGGAACACCGGCGGCGAAGGCGACUCUCUGGUCCGUAACUGACGCUGAGUGUGCGAAAGCUAGGGGAGCAAACGGGAUUAGAUACCCCGGUAGUCCUAGCCGUAAA
rnacentral:rRNA from 1 species